AACUGAUACUACCUGCGGGAACUUGCGGAGGGAUCAUUACUGAAGUGAUUUGGGGAUGUUGCUGGCCCUCUCUCAAGGGGGGGCACUGUGCACUCCUCGAAACAAUUCACAAUUUCCAUCACACCCCUUGUGCACACCUUGUAGGCACCCAAACCCACCUCCGGGUGGUGGGGUCCUAUGUAUUCCUUCAUCUCACACUCUGUUGAAUGGUGCCAUGGGACGCAUCUAAAGGAUUAUUUG
rnacentral:misc_RNA from 1 species